UACGGAGGGGGCUAGCGUUGUUCGGAAUUACUGGGCGUAAAGCGCACGUAGGCGGCUUUGCAAGUUAGAGGUGAAAGCCCGGAGCUCAACUCCGGAACUGCCUUUAAAACUGCAUCGCUUGAAUCCAGGAGAGGUGAGUGGAAUUCCGAGUGUAGAGGUGAAAUUCGUAGAUAUUCGGAAGAACACCAGUGGCGAAGGCGGCUCACUGGACUGGUAUUGACGCUGAGGUGCGAAAGCGUGGGGAGCAAACAGG
rnacentral:rRNA from 1 species